rnacentral:lncRNA from 1 species
ACUAGGAAGGUGGGACGUUGGAGGGGUGGCCGCAUGGAGUGAGUACUGUCUCUGGCCACCGAGCAGAGCCAGUGACAGCAGCGUCCUGGUAGGCAGGCAGGCGUAUCAGGUUUCAGAGGAUGCGGCUGGGAACGGGAGUAGAGGUGAGGGGUCGUUGCAUCUGUCGCGGUGUGUAUCUUUUGGGGGUUCAGCGCCACCAGCGACUUGGGCCUCAUUCAUCGCGCUUACAUUUCUCCACCUCAUUUGAAGAACGAGCUUCGUAGCCCACGGAGCUGAGGUAUAUGAGCUCCCUGAAAGCACAAAGCAGUUAUUUCCAUCUUCAGAUCAUUCAGAGAUUAUGAAGGCACAAACCCUGCCUUCAAUUUGCUUAUAGUCAAGUGGAGCAGACACAAGUCAAUGAUUGCAGUAUAGCCACUGAAGUAAUCUAAAAGAGAAUGCCACAUCACAGUGAAUUGUGCUGUGGACAGCUUCCAGUGUGUGAGUUGUGGAAGAUGAUG